rnacentral:rRNA from 1 species
GACGAACGCUAGCGGCAGGCCUAACACAUGCAAGUCGAGGGGCAGCACAGAAACAGCAAUGUUUUGGUGGCGACCGGCGGACGGGUGCGUAACGCGUAUGCAACCUACCUUUAACAGGGGGAUAACGGAGAGAAAUUUCCACUAAUACCCCAUAACAUCGAUCAAGGCAUCUUGAUUGGUUGAAAACUCCGGUGGUUAAAGAUGGGCAUGCGUUGUAUUAGGUAGUUGGUGAGGUAAUGGCUCACCAAGCCUACGAUACAUAGGGGGACCGAGAGGUUAGCCCCCCACACUGGUACUGAGACACGGACCAGACUCCUACGGGAGGCAGCAGUGAGGAAUAUUGGUCAAUGGGGGCAACCCUGAACCAGCCAUGCCGCGUGCAGGAAGACGGCUCUAUGAGUUGUAAACUGCUUUUAAACAGGGAUAAAGCACAGUAUGUAUACUGUGUUGAAGGUACUGUAAGAAUAAGGAUCGGCUAACUCCGUGCCAGCCGCCGCAGUAA